CUACGGGAUGCUGCAGUGGGGAAUAUUGGACAAUGGACCAAAAGUCUGAUCCAGCAAUUCUGUGUGCACGAUGACGGUCUUCGGAUUGUAAAGUGCUUUCAGUUGGGAAGAAAAAAAUGACGGUACCAACAGAAGAAGCGACGGCUAAAUACGUGCCAGCAGCCGCGGUAAUACGUAUGUCGCAAGCGUUAUCCGGAUUUAUUGGGCGUAAAGCGCGUCUAGGUGGUUUGAUAAGUCUGAUGUGAAAAUGCGGGGCUCAACUCCGUAUUGCGUUGGAAACUGUCAAACUAGAGUAUCGGAGAGGUGGGCGGAACUACAAGUGUAGAGGUGAAAUUCGUAGAUAUUUGUAGGAAUGCCGAUAGAGAAGUCAGCUCACUGGACGAAUACUGACACUGAAGCGCGAAAGCAUGGGGAGCAAACAGGAUUAGAUACCCCCGUAGUC
rnacentral:rRNA from 1 species